rnacentral:rRNA from 1 species
UACGUAGGGGGCAAGCGUUGUCCGGAUUUAUUGGGCGUAAAGAGCGUGUAGGCGGCCAGGUAGGUCAGCUGUGAAAACUCGAGGCUCAACCUCGAGACGCCGGUUGAAACCAUCUGGCUAGAGUCCGGAAGAGGAGAAUGGAAUUCCUGGUGUAGCGGUGAAAUGCGCAGAUAUCAGGAAGAACACCCGUGGCGAAGGCGGUUCUCUGGGACGGUACUGACGCUGAGACGCGAAAGCGUGGGGAGCGAACAGG